AAGAUUUUAAGUUAAAAAAACUAUUUGCCUUCAAAGCAGAAAUUAUUCUCAUAAAUCUUA
rnacentral:tRNA from 1 species